rnacentral:rRNA from 1 species
UAGUCCACGCCGUAAACGAUGAGUACUAGUUAUUAGAGGUAUUGACUCCUUUAGUGACGCAGCUAACGCAUUAAGUACUCCGCCUGGGAAGUACGGUCGCAAGACUAAAACUCAAAGGAAUUGACGGGGGCCCGCACAAGCGGUGGAUUAUGUGGUUUAAUUCGAAGCAACGCGCAGAACCUUACCAAGACUUGAAAUCCUAGGAAUCCGACGUAAUGGUUGGAGUGCUCGCAAGAGAAUCUAGUGACAGGUGCUGCAUGGCUGUCGUCAGCUCGUGUUGUGAAAUGUUGGGUUAAGUCUCGCAACGAGCGCAACCCCUAUCUUUAGUUGCCAGCAUUAAGUUGGGCACUCUAGAGAGACUGCCCGGGUUAACCGGGAGGAAGGUGGGGAUGACGUCAAGUCCUCAUGGCCCUUAUGUCUUGGGCUACACACGUAAUACAAUGGUGCAUACAAAGGGAAGCGACCUGGUGACAGCAAGCAAAUCUCAAAAAGUGCAUCUCAGUCCGG